CAAGUACCGUGAGGGAAAGUUGCAAAGAACUUUGAGGAGAGAGUUCAAGAGGGCGUGAAACUGCCAAGGAUGAAGCGGAUAGAGUUAACGGAAAUCGGUGGCAUUCAGCGAAUGGGGCGAAUGCGGUUGCAGGAUUGGUACUCGUGAAACGGUACGAGAAUGUGACAUGCUUUGGUGUCGUUGGCGCAUUUGCCACUGAUGAGCGCUGGGUGUUUUGUCGUUUAAUGCUGACCCGAGCUUAGUGGACCAAGCGUUCGCGUUUGGGAACCUGUGCUCGGCUAGGCUUGUGAAUGAUAAUGCGUUGUGUUAUACGCCUCGUGUUAUGCGUUGAGUUGAUUAUCUGUUGUUCGUAGUGUUAUGCGGUGGCAUGCGACUUGYUGGUGGUAUGAUUUCGGUGAUCGCUUUGACGAGUUUGAGGUGAGUCCUAGUGUGAGCGUUGGUCACCUAUCCGACCCGUCUUGAAACACGGACCAAGGAGUCUGGCACGUGCGCAAGUCACUAGUUGGUAAAUCGGAGAGGCGAAAUGAAAGUGAAAGCCGACUCGAUCGGCCGCUAUGGGAUUCGCGCUUUAUGUUUUGGCGCGACGCACCAUAGCCCCGUCUUUGUUGCUUGCAAUAGGGCGGAGGUAGAGCGUACAUGCCGGUACCCGAAAGAUGGUGAACUAUGCCUGAGCAGGAUGAAGCCAGAGGAAACUCUGGUGGAAGCUCGAAGCGGUUCUGACGUGCAAAUCGAUCGUCUGACUUGGGUAUAGGGGCGAAAGACUAAUCGAACCAUCUAGUAGCUG
rnacentral:rRNA from 1 species